GUGGUGCUUCUGAUGCAGCAUGCUGCCUUCACUAGAGGGCUGCGGCCGCCGGGACCCAUGGGCCAUUGGGCUCGGUGGUGCUUGGGGAGUUUGAGGGAGAGAUGCGAGGUUGCGUCGUCCCGCGUUAUUGAGAAUUUUUUAGGGUUAAUUGGAGAAGAACAGGGCAUCGAUUCGUGUGGCAUUGGUGAUUUUAGUGGGUUUGGCCGCAAAUCAAAAGCACCGCUGUAACGAAUGCCAUUCCAUGGCCCAGCCCGGUAGAUCUUGGUGUGGCCCUUCCACAUAGAUGGCUCCGGAAAAUUGUGAAGUUCUAUGCCAUAACUGAGGUCUCCAGGAGAUGGAUCAUCUGCGCUCUUCCAUGACGUAAGGCGCCGGUUGAGACCACUUCUCAAGUCCCAUCCAACUUUCAUCCCUGGUAACAACGUAUCUGUUGGAUAGUCAAAACUUUGCCAUAAAUAACUUUCUGGUUCACUGCCUUUUUCAUCUUUUAGCACAAGAUUUCCUGAAUCCAAGAGCUGUGCUACUAUUGGAUUAAUCUGAUGAUGAUCAGCUUCUUUGGACAAGCUUGAUGACCAAAUGACAGUCCCACUUCCAUUAGUGUGAAUGAGAAGGACAAGGCUGCCAGUGCUGUUAAUCAUCAACACACCGGAAAAGUCAUUAAUUGGGUUCUCUCUGUUGGCAACCCAUACAAAUGUUCUGAUUGGGAUGUUCUUGUACCAGAUACCCAAGUAUCGUUUCCUGGAAUUUCCUGGACUAAAGAAACCCAGUUCAAAACUUCCUCCCUGGGAGACCAAGGUCUGUCCAUCACUUAAAGAUUGGGAUGAAAUAAUGGUGUCAGCCACAUUGGAGGCUCUGGGGAAGACAUCGUGUAAUUCAAUCCAUAGAAGCAGAAAAUAAAGAACGACCAUUUUUUCAGGCUUGUAGCAUUAUUCUCUUGCGGGCAGUGGCCCUUAAUUUUCUUUCCAAAUUCCCUCUUUAAAGACAAAGGUGGCAUGUUGUCAGACCAGGAAGCACGUUGUCAUCUUUCCCAUUGUCUUCUGUCAUGAGGACAAGUGAGAAAUCCUUACAAGACAAAUGGCGCAAUUGUCUCAUUCAGUGACGGUGGACAACAGCAGAGAUUCCUUCAUCGGUGUGUCAUUCUCUGUUCACAAUUCACAAAUCAUUUGAUGCAUGUAACUGAGAUUCCAUUACUGCAUUACAUAAACAAAAUGGGUUUGGGUACCUUCUUUUAAUUUAGUCAAGCUUUUGAAAAAACUGACGUGGGGAAGUUGAAGGAAGAAAAAGGGUAAGCCAGUGGUGGGGCUUUGUAGAAAGUCUUGCUUUGGACUGUGUAGUUGCGAACAAAUCUUAUCAUUAUUCUAAAACAAAGAGCUUUGCCCAUUUUCCAUUGAAA